rnacentral:misc_RNA from 1 species
CAUCAUCAUCAUCAUCAUCAGAUGCCUACUACUGGGCCCAUUUAUACAAGUUGCCAGGCACAAAAACAUGGCUUCGACCAAAUUUGUUAAUUUCCUAUCAUAUAAUUAUAGGGUGUUUCCUAUUUGCAGAGUCUUAGGGGUCAUGUGUUGCUUAUUUUCUUUAGAAAAUGAAAUAGCAGUAACAGACAACAAGUGACCACCCAACUCAUAACAUGCACAAGAAUUUUAUGAUAUCAUGGCUAAAAUCUAUUUUAUAUGGGAGACAACCUCGCCCCUUUGAUUUAUUAUUACAGAGUCAUAUAUAUGCAACAUGAUCAUUAUAGAAAAUCUUAUUCUGUCAGCCUGAUCAAGUUUUAUAGAAUGAUGAGCAUUUGAUUAAUCAUCAUCCAUGAUGAUGAAGAUCAAUUUGACAUAAAUUGAUUUUUUUUAUAAUUUACUAAACAAAGACAUUCAGAAAGGAGAAAUUCAAAAGCUACAGCAUAGACUACUUUAGGGUUUUUAUGAAAUGCUGACUAUAAUUAUUUACAAUUGAUAGAGUUUUCUAUGUGAUCGAUGUCUCAUAUCAACUUGAUAGUAGUAACAUGAUGAUUUUAACUAGCAUCCAAUAAAGCCCAAAACUAAAGCCUAGGGCACAUAUUUAACUGAGGCAUCAUAACAGGACAGCCGCAUUUGUGCUAGUGGACCAAUAGUACCAACGCCAUAAAAUGCUCUGUGCUCCAACAGAAACACACCAAUAGAAAGGAACUCAUAACCAUAUAUGGCAAAACUGAUGACUAAUGCAUUUCAGUAACUUAUAAUUUAAGGUUUCAAAGAAAUCUCUGAAUCAAAUGAAUGCCACGGUCAAUAGAAACCCCAUUAUAAACAGCUAACAAUUAUUCUCUUAAACUGCACAGAAGGGUACCAAGUAGCUAGGCUCCACUUUUAUUGUGAAGCACAGCAUGUAAACCCACUCUCAGACAGCACCAUAAAACAUAUCUAGCCUGUGUGAAUUCGUUCUCUUUACUCAAAGUAAUCUAAUGUAGUUUAUUCACAUUCCAUGAAAGUGUUUCAUUCCCAUAAUAAUCAUGUUGCAUGCACAUGCAAGAGCUAUAUUAGAAGAUGACAUGAAUCUUAGAAACUGUAAGGUUACCUUUUCGUGACUUGGAGGUUAUGAGUCCAAAACACUGAAACAGCCUCUUCAAAUGCAAAGGGAAGGCUGUGAAAAUCUGACUGUUACUAGAGCCUUUAAUGUGGAGAGUCUUGUGCAUUGGGAUACCUUAACACAAGAUUAGCAUUAAAGUUUUUGUGCUUUUCUACCCCCUGCUGCCCAGUUAAAUGGCCGCAUUUUAGAUUAAAGAGACCUUAUGAUGCGUCAAAAAUAUAUACUGUAAACUUCCCUAUAGGUGAACAACUUUAUUAGAUGCUUCCAUAAAGGAAUACGCAAAAUUUGCAACCAUAUACAGUCAACACUUUCCAAAAAUCUGUAAUACAAUGCUUUAUAUGCUGAUCCCAGUUCUGCUUAAACAUCAGCUCAGAGAAAAAGAAAUCUACAUAUUAAGCACAACAAUAUUGCAGUAAGCCAAGGAACACAUUAUCAACUGAAUCCAGCCAAGGAACAGGUUAUUAAUAGAGUGUUCCUUUCUAGGGCUAUAUCAUGUCAACCUUCUCCUCCUAGGUUCACGGUAAAAUCCAUUGUCUACAUCUGAAACUCUGGGAAAUUCACUUCUUCUCCUAGAAGAUGAAGAAUGGGGCAUGGUUGAAUUGACUUCUAUACUAUUGUCCCCUUCUGAAAUUCUUGAAACUUCAGCUCUUCUCCUAAAAGAUAAUGAAGAAAUGGCCACAACAUUAUUGUUUUCUACAGAAGUAUCUGUUCUCUGGUUUUCUAAUUGCACAACAGUGGCAGUAGUAUUAGUGCUGAAAGAUGAAGCAGGACGGGCCAUUGUAGAAUCAGUAUCAGCAGCAUUAUUUACAAGUUGUCUAUCUCGUUGAAUAGCAGCAGCAAUGUUAGAAACUGAACCUCUAUCAACAACACUUGCGGAUCGUUGAUGGUUUCUUCUUAUACGACGCCUAUGAAUAGAUGCCUCAAGGUCCUCAACCAAUCUUUCCACAGAAUCCAUUGCAGAGUUCAGUGCAGAUGAAAGAGAAGAAAACGAAGCUGCUCCUUGCAUCAAUAACCUUGAAUCUUGAAAGGGAUGAUGUUGCUGACUGUCCUCUAUCCGCAUGGCAGGCAACACCUGAGAAGUAAAGGAUUGACUGGCGAAGAAACGCCCUCUUUCAGGCAUGUAAGAAGCACCGUCAAGAUCUUGUGACUGAGAUCUCUCCUCCAUGGCAACAAUCAUAUCCAAUAGCCGAAUAUUUUGAACAACCACAGAAGAAAUUGCUCUAUGAUUGUUGAGUUGCUGCCUCAGACUCUCAAUCCUAUGUGCCUGGGGCCUAGGAGGGACCUUCAAACCAGUCUCCUUCAACCUAGACUUCUGGGUAUUGUUAUCAUUUCCAUUGCCAUAAAUUGGAAUAAUGCUUAUAUCUGUAACCUCUUUCAUACAAACUGGGCAUUCCUUCACAUUCAAAUGAACAUAUGAUAACUGAUAGAAGCAUGGCCAACAAAAAAGGUGACCACAAUGGGUCAAUAUGGGAUCUCUUGCCAUAUCUAGGCAUAUGUUACAAUCAAAAAAGUUCCCACGAUCACUUCUGGUAUUCGUUGCAUCUGUAUCCAUGCCCAGUGCCCUAGCUAUCAGAUGUGUACCAUUCCUUUUCAUAAUUCUUCUGGCCCCAAAUGUCCUUUCCUGGGUUGCAACUGCAACUCUCUCAGCAAGCGUUGUAUCAUCACUGUGAAACCCAUUGGGUGUAGGUUCAACAGCAAAGUUGACUGUUUGAUGGGUAGUUUCACUUUGUCUCCAUCUUUGGCGUUGUCUAGCCCUUGAGGUGACUGCUUCAAGUUGUCUGAUACGUUCUUCUAUGUGCCCAUGAGCAGUUUCUAAUUCGUUCAGUAAAGACCCUAAUCCAAAGAUAGAGCCAUGGGGAGAGUCCAAAGGUUCUUGGUUCAAAUCAAGCUCCAUUCUCUCUUUCCUGACUAAUAAUUGCC